AUUGAACGCUGGCGGCAUGCCUAACACAUGCAAGUCGAACGAGUGGCGGACGGGUGAGUAAUGUAUGGGAAACUGCCUGGUGGCGGGGGAUAACUACUGGAAACGGUGGCUAAUACCGCAUACCAUCAGAUUGGCCCAGAUGGGAUUAGCUAGUUGGUGGGGUAACGGCUCACCAAGGCGACGAUCCCUAGCUGGUCUGAGAGGAUGACCAGCCACACUGGAACUGAGACACGGUCCAGACUCCUACGGGAGGCAGCAGUGGGGAAUAUUGGACAAUGGGCGAAAGCCUGAUGCAGCCAUGCCGCGUGUAUGAGGAAGGCCUUCGGGUUGUAAAGUACUUUCAGCAGGGAGGCGGUAGCAGCAGAGGAAGCACCGGCUAACUCCGUGCCAGCAGCCGCGGUAAUAC
rnacentral:rRNA from 1 species